rnacentral:rRNA from 1 species
GACGAACCGUGCAAACGUUGUUCGGAAUCACUGGGCUUAAAGGGCGCGUAGGCGGGCCGGCCAGUCAGGGGUGAAAGCCCACGGCUCAACCGUGGAAGUGCCUUUGAUACUGCCGGUCUUGAGGGAGGUAGGGGCGUGCGGAACUUCCGGUGGAGCGGUGAAAUGCGUAGAUAUCGGAAGGAACACCGGUGGCGAAGGCGGCAUCCUGGACCGGCAUUGACGCUGAGGCGCGAAAGCUAGGGGAGCAAACGGG